rnacentral:rRNA from 1 species
GAAAGCGUGGGGAGCAAACAGGAUUAGAUACCCUGGUAGUCCACGCCCUAAACGAUGUACACUAGUUGUUGUGAGGCUCGACCUUGCAGUAAUGCAGUUAACACAUUAAGUGUGCCGCCUGGGGAGUACGGUCGCAAGAUUAAAACUCAAAGGAAUAGACGGGGACCCGCACAAGCGGUGGAGCAUGUGGUUUAAUUCGAAGAUACACGAAGAACCUUACCUGGCCUUGAUAUCCUAAGAAUCCUGUAGAGAUACGGGAGUGCUAGUUUACUAGAACUUAGAGACAGGUGCUGCACGGCUGUCGUCAGCUCGUGUCGUGAGAUGUUGGGUUAAGUCCCGCAACGAGCGCAACCCUCGUCAUUAGUUGCUAACAGUUCGGCUGAGAACUCUAAUGAGACUGCCUACGCAAGUAGGAGGAAGGUGAGGACGACGUCAAGUCAUCAUGGCCCUUACGUCCAGGGCUACACACGUGCUACAAUGGGGCAUACAAAGAGCAGCAAUACCGCGAGGUGGAGCAAAUCUCAAAAAUGUCUCUCAGUUCGGAUUGUAGUCUGCAACUCGACUACAUGAAGUUGGAAUCGCUAGUAAUCGUAGAUCAGCUAUGCUACGGUGAAUACGUUCCCGGGUCUUGUACUCACCGCCCGUCACACCAUGGGAGUUGAACUCAUUCGAAGCGGGGAUGCUAAAGUAGCUACCUUCCACAGUGGAUUCAGCGACUGGGGUGAAGUCGUAACAAGGUAACCGUAGGAGAACCUGCGGUUG